rnacentral:lncRNA from 1 species
CUGGGACUAAAUGUGCAAUAUUUCUGAGGUCUGCCUUUGAUUGGUUGUUAAAUGGUUAAGCAAUAAUUCCAUAAUACUAUUUCAGCCAAGGAACUGUCAGGAAGUAUCAUAUAACUUCAUAACUUCAUAUAACUGUCAUAUACACAAAGUAUAAAUACUUUUAUUUUACUUUAUUUGUUUGUUUCAUUUUUCCCUUUGAUGACUAAUAUGCUACUAUCUCUUUUCCCCCAGAGGGAGAUAAAUAUAUCGUGUUUUUCAUCAAUGCAGUGUGGGAAGCGAAUUCUAGACACAAAGAGAGAGAGAGAGAGAAAAAAAAAAAAAAAGAACAGGUCAUGCAGGUCAGGAAGAGCUGCAGGGCUAAGCAUACCAACCAAAAAUAUUCCCAGGACUAACAAGUAAAGCAGAUCAUCAGCAUUUUGCAGAGUGUAUUGGAGAGAGAGAAGCAAAAGCCUCUGUGGUCUUUAUGUUAAAAAGACACGUCUGCUCUGGAAUCAAAAUACUUCCAAUUCUGGUACCCUACUCUCUGGUCUAUGACCUUGCGUAAGUUAUUUAAUCUCUCUGAGAUGGAUUUCUGCUGCAGAAUUUGUGUGAAAAAAAUAGUACCUGCUUCACAGGAUUAUUGUGAGAAUUAAAUAAGAUUAUCCACAUAAAAUUUUCCCCAUUGUAUCAUGCAUAAAGUAAGUGCUCAGCAUUUUUUUCUUUUUACUACUACUAUUAUUAAUUUUUUAAAAUAGAAAAUUUAGACUCUUCAUAAUAUGGGCAUAACUCCUUCAUCAGAUUACUCCAUGAACAUUAAAUUCAAACUUCAGAGCUUUAAAUUGCAAUGAAACUGUAAAUGUCACAAAAGGAAGAAUAGAUAAGAGACUUAAAAAUAAAAUAUUUUUAAAUAAGUGUGUAAUAUUUACUAUAAAAAUACUGGGAACUUAUAUAACAAAAUGGGAAGAGUGGUUGCCUCAUCAGUGCUGAUGAUAUUAGUUUUUUUUCUUUCUCAUAUUUUCUGAAAUUUCCACAUUUGUAACAAUUAAGUGUACAUCACUUUUAAAAUCAUUAUGAAAAUAAAUUUGAAGAAAAAUAUUGUAUUAAUGCAUCCAUUUCAAUACACUAUUUUAGUAAUAUGUAUGCCUACCUGGAUACACAUUCAUGAGUAUAAAUAUAAAAGGAUACAAGAACAGAAAGGAGAGGUCCAUAUCUUACGUUUAUAAACUUUGAAGACAAGCUUUCCAGAUUAGUUGACCCUAAAUAAAAUUUUAAGAGUAAACAAGGAGGAAAAAAUGAAAAAAAAAAAAAAAAAAAAGAAGUGAAAGAAAAAGGAGACAUUCAACCAAAGUUAAUGCUGAGUCCUGUGGCAUCAAGGGAAAUGGCUGAGCAUCUUUACACAAUUGCAAGCACUCCCUGGCACUGUAGUGUGUGCCUGUAGUCCCAGCUAUUCAGGGGCUAAGGCAGGAAGAUCUCUUGAGCCCAGGAGUUCUGUGCUAUAGUGAUCGAGAGUCCGCCAUAAAUUCAGCAUCAAUAUACUGACUUCCUGGGAGAGGAGGACCACCAGGUUGCCUAAGGAGGGAUUUAACAGCCCAGGUAAAAAAACAGAGCAGGUCAAAACUCCUGUGUUGAUGAGUAGUGGGAUCACUACUAAUGCAAUUUCUCCCAUAGAAAUGGGAGAUCCCGUUUCUUUAAAAAAAAAAUUGCAAGUGCUUUCAUAGGUCAGGAGUAAAGAAUAAUGAGAAGUAGUAAUGGGAGAUGAGUCGGAAUCUGUGGCUAGGUUUUGUAUGACUCGUUAAGGAUUCUAUGUUCCACUGAAAUAUCAAAGUGCCUUUGCAUAAUUUAAUGAUGUUAAAAGAUCACGAUGGUUAAAGGACUGUGAGGCCUGAGAAAGUUAAGAGAGCGACAGGACUGUGGCAGAAACCAUGGCAAGAAAAGGAGAGAGAUUAAAUAGUCUCAGUGCAGUUAACUUAUAAGAACUGGACUAAUUAUUUCCAUUCCUGAUUAAAUUCUUCUCUUACAUUCCCAUAAAAUAGUUUUAAUGGCUAGGGGAAUGAGAGUUCUUAACUCGUUAGUAUAAGGAAGGAAGACAAUGGAAGGAGCACAGGUUGUGGGCUAUUGAACUGAAAGAGGGGAGAGAUAAUGAGUUUAAAUUUGUUCAGAUAUAAGGGUUGGCUAUGGUGCAACUAUUCAUGUCUAGUAAGCAAUUGGACGGGACAAUGAGCUGAGUAGGGUGGGUGGAAAAACUUUCCAUAGCUAGAGAUGGUGAAAAAAUAGUGUAGGUGAAGAAAUGAAUGCAAAGUGUCAGCAGUAGGCUGCUUAAAGGAAAGCAAAAGCUGUGUUGAGAGAAUAAAACAGGGAUAAGUCUGGCAGAAGCAUAGAAUUUCUAGGAGGGUCAUGGGAGAGAAGGGUGAAAAGGACUAUUUGAGCAGGAUUAGAAAGUCUGGUGUGCCAGAGGGAGAAAUUAAUAUUGCAGUCUGUUUAGAAGGAGAGACCACUUACUUAUAUAGGGCCACAAUUGUUUCUAGGUAGUGUAUAUCCUGGUAAAGAAAUGCAAUGUAGUGUUUAAGUGAAAAACUACAGGAGUAAAUAGCCUAGCUUUAAAUCCCAGCCUUAAGGCUUACUAGCAGUGUGACUUGGAGCAAAUUGUUAAUCUCUUAGUUCUUUAGUUGUGCCAUCUGCAAGCUGAUGAUAAUGAUUGGCUACUUUCCCUGAGUGGUUAUAAGAAUUAAAUGUGUUAAUAUAUAUGUCACCCUGUAGAAAGUGUUAUAUGUGGACAUACAUAUGCAAAAUAUGCAUACACAUAUACUGCAAAUAUUAUUACUCUCUCUAGCUAUCUUUAUUUCUUGUAUUCCUCUGAUGAGAUAUAAUAUGAGACUCCUUCCUACUCUCUAAUUUUACCUUCAAUGAAAAAAAAAGCAGCUCUCCUCUUUUUAAUGCCAAUCUUUAAUUUCAUUUAUGGAGACGGGAUGUAUAAGGUCCUUCUCAUUCACAUGAGUGGCAUAAUCAUGACACAUUUUGAUGUAAAACACAUCAGUAAUAUUUAAGAAAUGGUAAAAAAUUGCAAUUUUCAGGCCAUCCUAGAGUAUAAUUUAUUUAUUUUUUGAUGACUAGCUGAUUUUUAUUUAAAUUGAACAAUUUAUAUGUCAACUUAUUGAUACUAUGUUCAUGAGUUAAUGUUUCUAUAGGAUGGUUCUUAAAUACAGGUUAAUUACAUGGACACUUAUCUCCAGGCAAAGGGUAUCUAUGCCUCUCAUCCUCCUGCCUACAAUGAUUAAAAUAGAUUGGGGUGAGUAUGCAACCUAUAUCCUCCUUAUGAUAUGGACACUGGAUUUUGCUUAUAGUGCUGAAGACAAACUGAGUCUUCCCUUGAAGAGUGAAGUGAUAAGAAGUAAGGCUGUAACACAUAGGGCAAUUUGCAAAUAUUAGGAUGAAGUCUGGAGCUACCAAGGGGAUGAGCAUAGUGAACAUGGAAAUGAAGCUGAUGUCACAAACAGUAGAACAU